UAGGGGGCAAGCGUUAUCCGGAUUUACUGGGUGUAAAGGGAGCGUAGACGGCGGAACAAGUCAGAAGUGAAAACCCGGGGCUCAACCCUGGGAGUGCUUUUGAAACUGUUUGGCUGGAGUGCAGGAGAGGUAAGCGGAAUUCCUAGUGUAGCGGUGAAAUGCGUAGAUAUUAGGAGGAACACCAGUGGCGAAGGCGGCUUACUGGACUGUAACUGACGUUGAGGCUCGAAAGCGUGGGGAGCAAA
rnacentral:rRNA from 1 species